AUACGUAGGGGACGAGCGUUGUCCGGAAUUACUGGGCGUAAAGGGCGCGCAGGCGGAUAUUUAAGUCAGCUGUAAAAGGCAUGAGCUCAACUCAUGUAUGCGGUUGAAACUGGGUAUCUAGAGUGCUGGAGAGGUAGGCGGAAUUCCCGGUGUAGCGGUGAAAUGCGUAGAUAUCGGGAAGAACACCAGUGGCGAAGGCGGCUUACUGGCCAGCAACUGACGCUGAAGCGCGAAAGCCAGGGGAGCGAACGGGAUUAGAUACCCCGGUAGUCCUAGCCGUAAACGAUGAAUGCUAGGUGUGGGUGUCGAGAGGCAUCCGUGCCGGAGUUAACGCGAUAAGCAUUCCGCCUGGGGAGUACGAUCGCAAGAUUGAAACUCAAAUGAAUUUACGGGG
rnacentral:rRNA from 1 species